UACGUAGGGUGCGAGCGUUAAUCGGAAUUACUGGGCGUAAAGCGUGCGCAGGCGGCUUCUCAAGUCAGGUGUGAAAGCCCCGGGCUUAACCUGGGAAUUGCGCUUGAAACUGGGGGGCUGGAGUGUGGCAGAGGGAGGUGGAAUUCCUGGUGUAGCGGUGAAAUGCGUAGAUAUCAGGAGGAACACCGAUGGCGAAGGCAGCCUCCUGGGCCAACUCUGACGCUCAGGGACGAAAUCGUGGGGAGCAAACAGG
rnacentral:rRNA from 1 species